UACGUAGGGGGCGAGCGUUGUCCGGAUUUAUUGGGCGUAAAGCGCGCGUAGGCGGCCCGGUAAGUCCGUUGUGAAAGUCAAAGGCUCAACCUUUGAAAGCCGAUGGAUACUGCCGGGCUAGAGUCCGGAAGAGGCGAGUGGAAUUCCUGGUGUAGCGGUGGAAUGCGCAGAUAUCAGGAGGAACACCGAUAGCGAAGGCAGCUCGCUGGGACGGUACUGACGCUGAGGCGCGAAAGCGUGGGGAGCGAACAGG
rnacentral:rRNA from 1 species